rnacentral:misc_RNA from 1 species
UCGUCGGCGGUAUCAGUCAGUCGAACGCCUUCAUUAACACACAACGCAGUGAAAGGCUUUAAUAUAUAAAAAAUAUUUAUAAUUCAAUUCUUCUGUUUGCCUUUUGGUUUGUUUGUUUUACACAGCUGUUUUAAUUGUUUCUUUUUAAGAACGAAUUUAAUUCGUCGUAUUUUAAUAAAUUAAUUGAAUUAAUAACGCUACAAGUCAGGGGCCGAUAAGAAGACGCAAGUAACCAGUCCUCCAGCAGCGCAUUGAUCUCAUUAUUGUAAAAGCUUCAAACAAAAACUGACAAACAAAAUGAUUGUGAAAGUUCCUUCAAAUGAUUGGUCUGACCAAUUUGAAUAUGUAGUGGAGGAGGAUGAUUCCCUAUCAGAUUUGGAAGAUGAACAGGAUUUCUCCGAGUACUUGUGGAUGGAGAAUGAAGAAGAGUUCGAUAAGAAUGAAUUGAAACGUCUCGAAGAAGAGGACAUUAUGAAAGAGUGCAUUGAGGCAAUGCUUGAGGACGAGCUCGAAGCUGAAUUGGCUGAGUGGCAGAAAGCAAAGACGGAAGAAUUAAAUGCAGCAUUAUCCUCGCUCGCUGUGAGCGAAUGCAAUGUGGAGCAUUCCAUUCUAAAUCCUCUGGCCGCUGAAUUCGUUCCGCAAAAGCAUAUAAUUGAUCUGGGUACUUCGUAAGCCUAACAUUAUUUAUUUCACACACCACAAACUGGAAUCUAAUGCAACAUACGACGUUUAAAUAAAAUCAUCAAAACGCAACGCAUCAACAAUACUAUCGGAAAUUGUAGUUGGCCAUUAACACCAAGAGGCGCAUAAAAUUCAAGGAAAAGGAAUCACAAAUAAGCAUACAAAAAAACUAAAAGCCAAACAAAAAGCAAAAAAAUAAUUUUGAAUUACAAUAAUUUACUCAAGCUCAACUUUUUGUUGCCAUGCGCUAUUUCUAAAAAAUUUUACAGCUAAUAUUUUAGCAAGUUGUUUGUUGCAAGUCCAACGUACAAAUCGCUUUUAAUUUAUUGUGGGUAUUUAUACACAUUUAUAUUCAUAUAUUUUUCAUAAUUACCUCAACCCACGCAUAACUUUCGAAUCGUCCUAUAUUAUUAUCGAGACGAUCUACAUGAUUCAGGAAGACUCUUGCCUCAGACUGCAACAGCAGUGCAAACGAGAAUGAGAGCAUUUCGGCCAUUUUUUGUUUGUUGUAAAAACAUUUAUCUAGUUUUAAAUAAGUGAUAAAAUGAUAAAUUGUUAGUCCAGAGUUGAUAUUAGGAAGAUUUGAAAAAUUAAAAAUGUGAUUGUUCACUACUGUAGCUUUCCGUAAUAGCUGUCAUGUAUGGUAUGUUUUUUUUCAUUGUUAUUUUUAAUUCACAUUCGUUGCAAAUUCAAUUCACAUUUAAAUUUAUAUGUAUUGCGAUCUGCAGAUAAAUCACUGUGCAUCUAAAAAAAUAUUUAACAUUGUCCUGUCUAUAUUAAUAUGCUUGAACGCUCCAAAUUCCAUGUAAAGUACACAGACAUACCCCAUUACAACCUUGUUUAGCUUUAAUGGAAAAUUGUAAAGUUAUUUGUAAUUUAAAAUUUAACAAAAAAAAUUAAUAAAGUCAAAUGUAAUGUCAGAAAUUACAAAAAUACAUACGUAAUAGGCGUCUUAAUAUGCUUAUCUAAAGGAGUAAAUAUUAACGAAUGCAAUAAGCUAAUUCCAUAAAUAUCUGUAUAAAUUUUCACACAUACAUUACAUACGUAAAAAUAAAAUACCGAAUUACAAUAGCGUAGAGUGCAACCAUCUUAUUUACUAAAUGUAAUACCUAAAUAAAGAAUCAUAAGGAAGAAACCAAUAAAUAAAAUGGUGUACACUCGAUUUAAUGAUAUUUAACUUUGCCAACUCUUUAUAUUUAAACAUAUAAGACGCUCCAACUCUAUAUACAUAUGUAUGUAUUUAUACAUCAGCCUCGUAAUAUUGAACUGCUUCGAGCAAAAUUAUCUUAAAGACUAAUGCUAUUUAUAGUGUUAUAGUAGUUUAUGAAAAAACCCUAAAAUAUAAAAAAAUAAAUAAAAUAUAUAAAAACGUU